CACACAAUAAAGAAAAACCGAACAUCUCUCUCAUAGUCUCGACCUACAGGGAAAAACUACUUCUCACGCCUCUAUCUCGAGCUUGUUUUUACAUCUAUUUCCGCAAGCCGACACACAUUUUUAAGACAAAAAGGGAAUCGCGUGAUAGUGUUAGGGGCAGGGAACACUUAGGGUCCCCUUGCCGUGUUUCCCUGUGGAGGAACCACUAUCACAGUAACACUCGGGCUCCCACUCCCCACAGGGGAGGGAGUUCACUGAUGCACGGGCGGAAGCUAUGGGUCCACGUUGCUCAGAUGAGUGAGGAACGUGCCAACAGGCUGCUUGCAAUUUGCCCCCUUUCUUCUCUGCCCCAGAACCACGCAGUGUCCGACGCAGCGGUCUCUGAGAAGCGUAACUUUUCCCUGGGGGGGCGCUGGGUCCAGGGAGAUGCGCUUCUAAGCUCCAUCUUCCAAGGUUUCAUCAGCAACAAAGCUGAUGUUUUCGUCUCCAUCUGUCUGACUUUCUGCCUAUCCGAUUAUCUCCCCAGGUAAACUCCAUGAUUUAAUUGGCUAGAGAUCUAACCAACUGUCCUGCUCAUUCCGCUGAACUUAUUAAAGCAGAUGGUAUCUGGAUCAAAGUCUCCCAGAGACUCACAAAAGUAUUGAAGGGGAAGCUGGACACCCACAAACCCAGGCACUAGAGAAAAUUGUCGCUCAGAAGUUUAAGCCGCUGGUCUAAAGUCACAGAGCCAGAAAGGGGAGGAUUCGGGAUUCAAAUUCCGAGACCUCAGCUCCGUCCACCCCAUCCCGUUGCCUCAUAUUCUUUACAUGCAAUAAAUCUGAUCGCUCAAGGUCCUGACUCAACAAAGUCUUGCAAAAAAUCUUCAGGGGGAACAGCUGUGCCAAAUCGCCCUUGGUCUCCCCCCCCUCCCCAGUAAGGAGGGGACGUGAGUACCCCCUGUGGCUCCAAAGGGGUCAGGGGAAGCAGGCACCCAGUAUAGGAAAGGCCCAGCCACCUGAUCAUACAUCCUGGUUAAACCCAGCGUGGGCUGUUGUUCUGAGGGUUCUUCUCCGUCUUACCAGCCAUUCCAUUACUAAGGAACUUUAUUUCUAUUAGACUUGCCCAUACAGUUAUCUAGAGAGCUUGAAUUUCAAUGUUGUGGCUACUCAUUUCGAAUUACGCUUACUGAGCACGUACUGCAUGCCAAGCCCUACACUACAUGCUUUCCGAGAUCAUCACCUUACAUGGUCCUCACAACAGUCCUUUGGAGUAGGCAUUACUGUCCCCGUUCAUAGGUAUUAUUACCCCAAUUCAUAGAUACUACUAUCUCCCCAUUCAUGAAGCUCAACGUUCAGGCCAUUGGCCGAGAUGCAAACAUGAGGCCGUUUGCUACUGAAGUCAAGCUUUUUGCCACUAAAGGAAAUCGAAAUUACCUUUGAAGAUGUGCCUCCAAAGCAGAGGUAAAAGCUGUGAGAACAGAUCACGGCUCUGUCAUUUAUUCGCUGUGAGAUUUGGGCCAUGAAGUCAUUCAACCUCUCUGAACCCACGGUUCCCAAUAUAUAAAAAGGGGUUGGGGAUCCCCGCUCACCACUCCAACCUGGGCGACGAGAGACGCAUGCCGUAGCAUCUUAUGAUUCUCUGGUGGCAAAAGCAGAAAGUGUUCGGCCACUCUCGUUUGGCUAGCAAAGGCAGAAAGGAAAUUCACCAGAAGGAUAUUCAGAAGCCUCCAGAAUUUAUGGGAAGGCUGCAAAAUCAGACGUGAACAAAAAUCAGGAACGGGGCAGGACCUAACGCAGCACACCUCUGAGGGACCGCUGUCCUUGGACCAUCUCUGAGUCACGGCCACCGUGCAAAGUCCUGGGAGAGAGAGUCUGAUUGGCGGGCCUUAGGUCACGUGCCCAGCGUUGGCUGCGCGGGAAUAAGUAGUUCCGGGAAGGGACCUCCGUGGCCUCCGUAGUGGGAAGUGAGACUACUCUGACCGUGCUCAGGGAGGAAAGAUCAUCUAAAAAAAGAAAGCAGGAUACAGUGAGAGCAGGGGGAAGGGGACAGCUGAGGGGUGAAAAAGGGAGACAAAUGUGGGCUAUGACAUAAAAGGUCACGGGAAUGUAAAAUAGUGGUAAUGUUCCCAUUUUUCUCCCUUUUUAGCAAGAAGCCCUGCUCUACACAUUUCACGUGAGCGUUUGCUUCCCUGAAGGCCUUUUUCGCACUGCGUUUCCAGCAUUAUCCAUAUA